CCUACGGGAGGCAGCAGUGGGGAAUCUUGCACAGUGGAGGAAACUCUGAUGCAGCGAUGCCGCGUGAGUGAAGAAGGCCUUUGGGUUGUAAAGCUCUUUUGUAGGGGAAGAUAAUGACUGUACCCUAAGAAUAAGGUCCGGCUAACUUCGUGCCAGCAGCCGCGGUAAUACGAAGGGACCUAGCGUAGUUCGGAAUUACUGGGCGUAAAGCGCGCGUAGGCCGUUGAGUUAGUUAAUUGUGAAAUCCCAAAGCUUAACUUUGGAACUGCAAUUAAAACUGCUCGACUAGAGUUUGAUAGAGGAAAGCGGAAUACAUAGUGUAGAGGUGAAAUUCGUAGAUAUUAUGUAGAACACCAGUUGCGAAGGCGGCUUUCUGGAUCAACACUGACGCUGAGGCGCGAAAGUAUGGGUAGCAAAGAGGAUUAGAUACCCUCGUAGUCCAUACCAUAAACGAUGAUUGCUAGAUGUUGGAAAUUUAUUUUCAGUAUCGCAGCUAACGCAUUAAGCAAUCCGCCUGGGGNGUACGACGCAGUAAACUAAUANAUANAGNGNGAGAGNGCGAGACGACACGAGGAGAG
rnacentral:rRNA from 1 species